GACGAACGCUGGCGGCGUGCUUAACACAUGCAAGUCGAACGGAAAGGCCUGCAGCUUGCUGCGGGUACUCGAGUGGCGAACGGGUGAGUAACACGUGGGUGAUCUGCCUUGCACUUCGGGAUAAGCUUGGGAAACUGGGUCUAAUACCGGAUAGGACAGCUGUUUAGUGUCAGUUGUGGAAAGUUUUUUUCGGUGCAAGAUGAGCUCGCGGCCUAUCAGCUUGUUGGUGGGGUAAUGGCCUACCAAGGCGUCGACGGGUAGCCGGCCUGAGAGGGUGUACGGCCACAUUGGGACUGAGAUACGGCCCAGACUCCUACGGGAGGCAGCAGUGGGGAAUAUUGCACAAUGGGCGGAAGCCUGAUGCAGCGACGCCGCGUGGGGGAUGAAGGCCUUCGGGUUGUAAACUCCUUUCGACAGGGACGAAGCUUUUGUGACGGUACCUGUAUAAGAAGCACCGGCUAACUACGUGCCAGCAGCCGCGGUAAUACGUAGGGUGCGAGCGUUGUCCGGAAUUACUGGGCGUAAAGAGCUCGUAGGUGGUUUGUCGCGUCGUCUGUGAAAUUCCGGGGCUUAACUCCGGGCGUGCAGGCGAUACGGGCUGACUUGAGUGCUGUAGGGGAGACUGGAAUUCCUGGUGUAGCGGUGAAAUGCGCAGAUAUCAGGAGGAACACCGAUGGCGAAGGCAGGUCUCUGGGCAGUAACUGACGCUGAGGAGCGAAAGCAUGGGUAGCGAACAGGAUUAGAUACCCUGGUAGUCCAUGCCGUAAACGGUGGGCGCUAGGUGUAGGGGGCUUCCACGUCUUCUGUGCCGUAGCUAACGCAUUAAGCGCCCCGCCUGGGGAGUACGGCCGCAAGGCUAAAACUCAAAGGAAUUGACGGGGACCCGCACAAGCGGUGGAGCAUGUGGUUUAAUUCGAAGCAACGCGAAGAACCUUACCAAGUCUUGACAUACUGUGAGGACACAAGAGAUUGUGUUGUUCUGACCUUUGGUUAGACACAGAUACAGGUGGUGCAUGGUUGUCGUCAGCUCGUGUCGUGAGAUGUUGGGUUAAGUCCCGCAACGAGCGCAACCCUUAUAUCUAGUUGCCAGCAGUAAGAUGGGGACUCUAGAUAGACUGCCAGUGAUAAACUGGAGGAAGGUGGGGAUGACGUCAAAUCAUCAUGCCCCUUAUGACUUGGGCUACACACGUGCUACAAUGGAUAGGAACAAAGAGAAGCGAGCUCGCGAGAGUAAGCAAACCUCACAAAACUAUUCUCAGUUCGGAUUGUAGUCUGCAACUCGACUACAUGAAGCUGGAAUCGCUAGUAAUCGCGAAUCAGAAUGUCGCGGUGAAUACGUUCCCGGGUCU
rnacentral:rRNA from 1 species